rnacentral:rRNA from 1 species
AUACGGAGGGUGCGAGCGUUAAUCGGAAUUACUGGGCGUAAAGCGUACGUAGGCGGUUGGUUAAGUUAGAUGUGAAAGCCCCGUGCUUAACCUGGGAACUGCAUUUAAAACUGGCGAACUAGAGUUGAGUAGAGGGGAGUGGAAUUUCAGGUGUAGCGGUGAAAUGCGUAGAGAUCUGAAGGAACACCAGUGGCGAAGGCGACUCCCUGGACUCGAACUGACGCUGAGGUACGAAAGCGUGGGUAGCAAACGGGAUUAGAAACCCUAGUAGUCC